AGAGUUUGAUUAUGGCUCAGGAUGAACGCUAGCGAUAGGCCUAACACAUGCAAGUCGAGGGGCAGCACAUGAAGUAGCAAUACGGAUGGUGGCGACCGGCGCACGGGUGAGUAACGCGUAUGCAACCUGCCUACAACAGGGGAAUAACCCGUUGAAAGACGGACUAAUACCCCAUAACACAGGGAUCCCGCAUGGGAAUAUUUGUUAAAGAUUUAUCGGUUGUAGAUGGGCAUGCGUUCCAUUAGCUGGUUGGUGAGGUAACGGCUCACCAAGGCAACGAUGGAUAGGGGAACUGAGAGGUUUAUCCCCCACACUGGUACUGAGACACGGACCAGACUCCUACGGGAGGCAGCAGUGAGGAAUAUUGGUCAAUGGACGCAAGUCUGAACCAGCCACGUCGCGUGAAGGAAGACGGCCCUACGGGUUGUAAACUUCUUUUGUAAGGGAAUAAAGUGUAGUACGUGUACUAUUUUGCAUGUACCUUACGAAUAAGGAUCGGCUAACUCCGUGCCAGCAGCCGCGGUAAUACGGAGGAUCCGAGCGUUAUCCGGAUUUAUUGGGUUUAAAGGGUGCGCAGGCGGGAGAUUAAGUCGGCGGUGAAAUUUUGCAGCUCAACUGUAAAAGUGCCUUCGAAACUGGUUUCCUUGAGUGUGGAUGAAGUAGGCGGAAUUUGUGGUGUAGCGGUGAAAUGCAUAGAUAUCACGAGGAACUCCGAUUGCGCAGGCAGCUUACUAAACCAUAACUGACGCUCAGGCACGAAGGCGUGGGGAUCAAACAGGAUUAGAUACCCUGGUAGUC
rnacentral:rRNA from 1 species